rnacentral:rRNA from 1 species
GUGGGGAAUCUUAGACAAUGGGCGCAAGCCUGAUCUAGCCAUGCCGCGUGAGCGAUGAAGGCCUUAGGGUUGUAAAGCUCUUUCGUGGGGGAAGAUAAUGACUGUACCCCAAGAAGAAGCCCCGGCUAACUCCGUGCCAGCAGCCGCGGUAAUACGGAGGGGGCUAGCGUUGUUCGGAAUUACUGGGCGUAAAGCGCACGUAGGCGGACUGGAAAGCCAGGGGUGAAAUCCCGGGGCUCAACCCCGGAACUGCCUUUGAAACUCCCAGUCUUGAGUUCGCGAGAGGUGAGUGGAAUUCCGAGUGUAGAGGUGAAAUUCGUAGAUAGUCGGAGGAACACCAGUGGCGAAGGCGGCUCACUGGCUCGAUACUGACGCUGAGGUGCGAAAGCGUGGGGAGCAAACAGGAUUAGAAACCCCGGUAGUCC